rnacentral:rRNA from 1 species
AGGAUGAACGCUGGCGGCGUGCCUAACACAUGCAAGUCGAACGUCCUGUCUCGCAAGAGGCAGGGAGUGGCGGACGGGUGAGUACCACGUGGGUUAUCUACCGUGAGGUGAGGAAUACCGGCGAGAAAUCGCCGACAAGACCGCAUAGCCUCGGUGCAAGCCGAGGAAAGCUUUCUCGAGAGAGGGAGCGCCACACGAGGAGCCUGCGCCCGAUUAGCUAGCUGGUGGAGUAACGGUUCACCAGGGCGACGAUCGGUAGCUGGUCUGAGAGGACGAUCAGCCACACUGGGAUUGAGAACGGCCCAGACUCCUACGGGGGGCAGCAGUGAGGAAUUUUCGUCAAUGGGGGCAACCCUGAACGAGCAACGCCGCGUGCAGGAAGAAGGUUUUCGGAUCGUAAACUGCUUUUCGUCGGGGAAGAGAACGGACGGUACCCGAGGAAUCGAGCCCCGGCUAACUACGUGCCAGCAGCCGCGGUAA